GUCUCAAAAUUUAAGCCGUAUUGGAGGGUCUUGUAUUAAAGAAAUCGUACGGAGAAUAAUGUAUCGUGUGUUUACCAAUGAAGUUGGUAUGUCUUAUUCUUGGGAAGGAGCUAAGAAAAAGAAAGUUUUCAAAAAUUUAGCUGUUGCAUCUGUUAUUCUCUCUGCUGUACGCCUUAAUAAAAACGCUCAAGAAUGUACAGAUUCAGAAAUAAUAUGUUUUAUAAAAGCGUGGCUUGUAAGGAGUAAAGAUCGCUUUAACAAUAAUAACAAAGGCAAAAAUAUAGCUCCUCAAAGAGUUGAAAUUGAAGAAUCAACUCAUUAACAAUAUAAAAAAUCCAGAUGCAUAAUGUUCAAGGUUCAAAAUAUGUUAAGCUUUAGCUUUAAUCUAUGUUCGAGAUUAUACAUCGAAAUUGUAAUCUUUGGAGUCUUGUGAGAGCAAAUUUCUAGCAAGAUCCGUGGAGAUAAUCUAAUAGCCAGUAUAAGAAAAAGAGCAUUAUUAUAUUAUAAUUCAAAAUGGAGGAUGCUGCAAAACCAAGUCGUAAAAGAAAAAUUAGUCGGAAGGCGGUGACAAAAGCAGCGACGCGUUUGCGUGUUAUAAACUUGCAGAAGCGUAUUGGAAACAUCUUAAAUCUCUCACCUCUUUCAAGUAGCACUGAUAGCAUCGAAGGCGAACAUAAUGAAGAAUCCGAUUGUGAUAGGAAUAAUAUCGAGAAGUCCAGCAUUGCUAAAAUGCAAAAGAGCAGUGACAGUGAUAUAAGAUCUAAUGAAGAUUCAGACGAUGGUAGUCGUGAUAGCAAUAAUCCAGAGUAUGAAUCAGAUUCUUCAGAAUCCAGUGAUGCCUGCGAAAUAGUUGAAGUCGAAAAUCUAAGAGCUUUACGCGAUGAUAAUGAAAAUAGAAAUGCGUAUAUUCUACGCGAAUUGAAGAAAUGGGCCAUGAAAGAGGUUUCCUGCAAAAAAAUUGAUACACUUCUCAAAAUACUGCAGAUAAUGUUUCCUAUUCUACCAAAAACCUCUUGAACUUUAUUAAAAACUCCUAGAAUUACAAAUCUUGUGAAUAUGGGAAACGACAAAUUCUGGUAUAAAGGAAUUUACCACAGUGUUUUAUCGCGGCUGUCAGAAAAGUAUCUAUCUACAAGAGAAUGUAUACGAUUUGACGUUAACAUUGACGGUCUAGAAUUAUAUUUUAGUUCACGUAAGACAUUCUGGCCAAUAUUGGGAUGCCUUGUAGAUGAGAAGGAACCGUUCAUAAUAGCAGUUUAUUAUGGAGAGGGUAAACCUCCACUAGAACCCUUCUUGCGACAAUUUGUGGACGAACUUUCCACUUUAAUGAUAAAUGGAAUUAUAUUUAAUGACACUACGUAUCGUGUUGAAAUACGGAAUUUUAUUCUAGAUGCUCCCGCAAGGGCGUUUAUAAAAUGUAUUAGAGGACAUACAUCAAGAAAAGCUUGUGAAAAAUGCCACGUUACUGGUGUACGUUAUAAAAAUAGAGAAAUUUUUCUAGAUUGUGAUGCAUUUCUUCGCAAUGAUGAAGAGUUCAGAUUAAAGACAGAUGCUGCCCAUCAUAUUCCCGGGAUCACAUCUCCAUUAGAAGAAAUUGGAAUCGGUAUGGUGUCUCAGUUUAGAUUGGAUGAAAUGCACCUUCUGUAUAGCGGAGUUUUCCAGCGGUGGUUGGAAUUUGUUUUGGGAAAACAAGGACUAAAUCGAGGACAAAUUUCAGUGCACGACAGGGCUGCUAUUUCCGCAGCAAUUGACGAAAUUAAACCUUAUAUUCCGGUAGAAUUUUGCAGAAGACCUCGUAACUUAUCGUAUUUCGGAAGAUACAAGGCAUCGGAAUUUAGAAGAAUUCUUCUUUACGACGGAUUAAAGGUGUUCAGUUUGCUUGAUCAAAAUCUAUACAUAAACUAUUUAUUUCUGCAAUGCGGAGUGUACAUUCUUUCAAGCCCACUUUUAGUUGAAAAGGAUGGUAUGAUUCAAAUAGCAGACUUGCUUCUCCGUUCAUUUGUUCGUCAUGCUGUGGAUAUCUUCUGGAAAUGGAAUCUUCUGGAAAUCUGGAAAUGAAUUUGUUACUUAUUACAUUCAUGCACUUUGUCACUUAGCUAUGGAAUGCCGCACACAGCAUCUUGCGCUUAGUAAUUUCAGUGCUUUUAAGUACGAAAAUUAUUUGGGUAUCAUUAAGCGUUGCCUAAGAGCAACACACAUGCCUCUUCAGCAACUUUAUAAUAGAGAUUUUGAAAGAGAAGGCCGACUUAUGCAAAAAGAUAUAAUUGAUGAAGAGCGUAUUGAACUAAGUAAAAAACAUAACGGAGAAGACGAUGAAGUAGAGACUUAUUCCAAGUUAACUGCGCACGGAAUGACACUUUCUACGUCAGAAGCUGAUUGUUGCUUUAAAUAAAAAAGUGGCGAAAUAGUCGUUCUUACAAAAAUUACUUGUUCCUAUCGUGGCACACGAAUUUCUUUACAUGGACAUAAAUUUAAAAACAUUUGUGAUUUCUUUACAUUUCCUAUUCAAUCUACGGACAUAGGUAUUUGUAAGGUAUCACAACUUGAGGAAGCUGAAAAAGUGUGGCCUUUUACUCAGGUUCUUCAGAAAUGCAUUCUGAUUCCUGCCAAUAAUAAUUAUUUAUGUAUUCCGCUCGUUCAUGCUGGACAAGAAUAAAAUAAUGUUUUCAGUUGUUGUUUGGCCGGAUGAUGGUAUAUGCGUGGUGCCAACUAAAUGGAUGAAUAAAUCUAAAGAAAAAGUUAUGUAUCCCACUAAAAUCAAAUGCUCUACGAAACUGGUUAAGUCUCUAGUAGAAGCGCAAGAAGAUUGGGAAGAAGUUAAUGUUGAGUUCUUGCACAGUUACAAAACUUUUAACCUGGCUCGUAAAGCCGCUAUAAUAGCUGCCGAAGAUCAACCUAUAGACUCCAAUAUAGAAACUGAUUAUGAAAAACCGCGAAAGCGUCAACUUCCAGCCAGAUUUAUUCAGAGUUCUGAUGAUGAAAACUCAGAAAAAGAAAAUAAGUGUAUGAAACGUAAGCGGACUAUUGCAGCAAAAUUCCGUCGAGAGAUGCAAUAUACAGAUAAUGAGGAGAGUGAAGAUGUUUCUCAAGUAAAUAAUGUACCAGCCCCUGCAACAAAUAUCAGGGACCAACUUGCUGCAUUGAAAGCUCAGAUUUCGCAUUCCAAAAGUUUGGAGUUCAACGAAUCUUAUUUGAAAAAAAAAUCGUGAAAAAACUCAUAAAAACAAAUAAAAAUGAUAAA
rnacentral:misc_RNA from 1 species